GCGGACGGGUGAGUAACACGUGGAUAACCUACCUAUAAGACUGGGAUAACUUCGGGAAACCGGAGCUAAUACCGGAUAAUAUUUUGAACCGCAUGGUUCAAAAGUGAAAGACGGUCUUGCUGUCACUUAUAGAUGGAUCCGCGCUGCAUUAGCUAGUUGGUAAGGUAACGGCUUACCAAGGCAACGAUGCAUAGCCGACCUGAGAGGGUGAUCGGCCACACUGGAACUGAGACACGGUCCAGACUCCUACGGGAGGCAGCAGUAGGGAAUCUUCCGCAAUGGGCGAAAGCCUGACGGAGCAACGCCGCGUGAGUGAUGAAGGUCUUCGGAUCGUAAAACUCUGUUAUUAGGGAAGAACAUAUGUGUAAGUAACUGUGCACAUCUUGACGGUACCUAAUCAGAAAGCCACGGCUAACUACGUGCCAGCAGCCGCGGUAAUACGUAGGUGGCAAGCGUUAUCCGGAAUUAUUGGGCGUAAAGCGCGCGUAGGCGGUUUUUUAAGUCUGAUGUGAAAGCCCACGGCUCAACCGUGGAGGGUCAUUGGAAACUGGAAAACUUGAGUGCAGAAGAGGAAAGUGGAAUUCCAUGUGUAGCGGUGAAAUGCGCAGAGAUAUGGAGGAACACCAGUGGCGAAGGCGACUUUCUGGUCUGUAACUGACGCUGAUGUGCGAAAGCGUGGGGAUCAAACAGGAUUAGAUACCCUGGUAGUCCACGCCGUAAACGAUGAGUGCUAAGUGUUAGGGGGUUUCCGCCCCUUAGUGCUGCAGCUAACGCAUUAAGCACUCCGCCUGGGGAGUACGACCGCAAGGUUGAAACUCAAAGGAAUUGACGGGGACCCGCACAAGCGGUGGAGCAUGUGGUUUAAUUCGAAGCAACGCGAAGAACCUUACCAAAUCUUGACAUCCUUUGACAACUCUAGAGAUAGAGCUUUCCCCUUCGGGG
rnacentral:rRNA from 1 species